GACGAACCGAGCGAACGUUGUUCGGAAUCACUGGGCUUAAAGGGCGCGUAGGCGGGUGCUCAAGUCUGUGGUGAAAUCCUCCGGCUCAACCGGAGAACUGCCAUGGAUACUGGGUGCCUCGAGGGUGGUAGGGGUAUGCGGAACUAUCGGUGGAGCGGUGAAAUGCGUUGAUAUCGAUAGGAACUCCGGUGGCGAAGGCGGCAUACUGGACCACUUCUGACGCUGAGGCGCGAAAGCCAGGGGAGCGAACAGG
rnacentral:rRNA from 1 species